UAGCACGUGGGUACCUACCUUGAGGUGAGGAAUACCACCGAGAAAUCGGUGACAAGACCGCAUGUCUUCGCAAGAAGAAAGUCUCGUAAGAGACGCCACAAGAUGGGCCUGCGCCUGAUUAGCUAGUUGGUGGGGUAAAAGCCUACCAAGGCCACGAUCAGUAGCUGGUCUGAGAGGAUGAUCAGCCACACUGGGAUUGAGUAUGGCCCAG
rnacentral:rRNA from 1 species